rnacentral:lncRNA from 1 species
ACUUAAUGUUCAAGUGGAGCUCAAUAAUUACUUCCUCUAUGUGGCCUUUUAUAAUCCCUCUCCUUUUCCGGAUGCUCAUUUCUUAAACCUUUACACUUGUGACAUGCAAGCGCAGAAUCUCUUCUUUCUCCACACUCCCUCCCAAGAUGAGGUAAUGGAAUUUCUGGUUUUAAAUACCAACUACAGCCCAUGAUUCCCAAAUGAAUAUCUCUAGCCUGGAGGUCUAGACUCAUGCAUCCAAAUGCUUGUGUAAUAUUCCCACUUAGAAAUCAUAAAAUCUUAUUCGAUUUACCAUGUCCCGAACGGCACCGGGAGUUCCACCUACAUCAGCACCAGAUCGCCUGCUCUCAGGCUUUUCCUUUCUCAGGCCAGAAUCCCUGGAGCCACCUUGUCUUACCUCUUUCCAUCACACCCCUCUCCAAUCAUCAGGAAAUGCUAUUGGCUCAGUAUGCAAAGUACACAUAGUGCAAAACUUAACCAUCCCUCACUGUCCUAGGUCAGACCAGAAUCAUCUCUUUUUAACCUUGGUCCCUAUAACCUAUCUACAAACCCAAUUGAGAAGGUCCUUUUAAAAUGUAAUUGAUAUCUGACAAUUAUGCCACUUGAAGUUUUCAACAUAAAUCCAAUGCAGAAUAAAAUCUGAUGUUUUUAGCAUCACCCACGAGGUCUUACAGGUCUUGCAGGAAACAGCCACCUGCCCACACUGCCUUUUCUAAGGUUGCCUCCUUCCACUCUCUACCCAUUCUGGCCUCUGAUGUUGUGCCUUGAACACGCAAGAUCCCUCCACUCAGAGCUUUUGAUUUACUCCUUGCUCUGCCUAGAGCAUUCUUUGCCCAGUUAUCUGUGUGGCUUCCUCCCACAUGUCAUUCUAAUUUCUGCUCAGAUAUAACGCAGUUAAGGGACUUUCCAUUUCUAUUUCGAUAAAAUAGCACUGCCAUCUCAUCUCACUGGUGCUCCCCUCCCUUCAGUGGCAUUUAUCUCCCCCUGAGAUACUCCAUUCCCUCCCUUAAAAGCUUCAUGAUGGAGAGAUUUGGUCCCUAGCAUUGACUACCUAGUAGGUCAUCAGUAAAUAUUUACUGAAUGAAUGAAUGGAUGAACUGAUCUGUUUUCCUCACCACAUGAACACUUUUUGCAUGUAUUACUCAUAAUUCUACUUCAAUUACCUACAGUUAUAGAAAGGCUAAUGUGCAUAACUUGCAUUUUUAUGGGAUUCAUGGUUUAUACUGCCCUUUUUUACAACAGUUGUUGCAGUUAGUACAACUACCAAUAUAUUUGUUGAUGCUUGUAACAACCCAGUGAGGUAAAGGAGUACAGAUGGUGAAGCUGAGGCCAACAGAAAGUGAAGGGUGUUUUUCAGAGAGUCACACAUGUAAUAACGGAAAAAAUCAGGACUUGAACUUAAGUUUAUUACUUUUCAUCUCAAGAUUUUCUCUGUGAAAGGGAGAUACCUUGUAUUUGCUGAUUUGUACUGUGUCUGAAUUGAUUCGCCUUGAAUAGUGCCUACAAAGAAAGGAUCAAUUGUACAUAUUUCAUAUAUAACUGUACUUUGCCUAGCACAGAGUGAAAUAUGUAAUAGCUCAGUCAAUAAUUGUUGACUGCAAGUCCACACUCAAUGUUGCAAAAAUGCAUUCUUCCCAUAUGUCUCAAAGACUCUACCUGGGAGAUUUUUUUUAUCACUUUGUAGGCUCAAGUUCAACUUCAAGGUAAACUUAGUCCUCUAUGCAUAUAUAUAUAUGCAUACAGAUGUAUGAAAAUAGAAGUCAAGAUAAGGAGGUAGACACAAAAAGAUUAAACUGAUAGGUAACUGGAGACAUAGAAGAGUGCCCAAAGGGGUGUCACAAGUGAGAACUUAACUGAGAAACAUCCAGAUCUGGGAUAGGGUUAAGAACUUUGGGUAGGGUGAAGCCGUGGGAAGAUUGAAUGAGCAGUGUACCUGUUGACAGGUGAGGGGCCCUCUCUUGACUAAGUAGCCAGCUUGGCUUGGAUCAGAACACAUCCCUGGAGACAUGUGCCAGAGGAAAAUGCAGAAUGAUUCAAGAAAGGCAUGCCUGGACCCAGAGUGGGGCUCUGUUCCCUGCAAGGAAGCUAGGGUAAAAGCCAGGAACUAUUGCCAAUAGUCCAACUGGAGGAUAGAGGGCAGGCUGCAAUUCUUGAGUUCAGGUUUCCCUAGUAAGCAGGUCUGGGAAAGACGAGAAAUCCUAGCUCACACCUCUCUACACACACAGCCUGGUCCUCUCCAGAUGGUUUCAGUAAAGGCUGAGUGGGUUUGAGCCUCUACUACUUAUCUCAAGGGGACCCUACAGAAAAGACCCUGGACAGGCAGAUAAAAUCCUGAUUCACUCACCUAGAAGCCUGCCUGCUUCUAAGUCCUCCUUCCCUCCCUUCUGGCUGCCAUCCGAUCUUCUUAACUAGCACCCUCCCCUUUCCAAAGCCCCAUCUGCUUCCUGGGAGGAAAAGCAGCCCCUGUGUGAGCUCAUGAGCUUGGCCUGGGGCUGCAAGCACCCACAUCCAGCCAUCCAGUCACCAACAAAUAACUUCCUGCAGGCCUAUUUAUCUUCGGCUUCAGCACAGCGGAACCGGGGUCUAUAAAUUGUAGUUGGGAUUCAGGACUAUUUUUUCUAGGUCAGGGAUGUGCUGCAUAUCAAUAGUGGAGCGGAGUCUCAGCCUGUCCUCCUCUGCCCAGAAUCCAUUUGCCUGCCAUAGCGGAAAAAGCGUGCCCAGUGGGCUGCAGCCCCCCUGGUGGACCCCAAGGCCAGUAUCUUCUGCAGUGGACAAGAACGCAGAGUCUGGAGACAAAUGAACAGCUGCUGAGCGGGUCCAGCCAUUCUGUUACAGGCUCUGCAAGCCUCUGCAUGCAGAGUUGAAGCUGAAUUUUGCUAAAGGCAAAUCUGGUGCUUCUACUUGGCUUGGUGCUCUGUUAUAAGUGUAUUUAAGAAUCCCGUGUAUGAGUUGAACAUCAUGGGUUUUGUGGCCCUACACCAACACAGAGGCAGCAAAAUCAGCUCUUGGGUGAGAACUGGUUUUCAAACCCAGCUCUGCCCUGUCCUGUGCAGGAAAUUGUUUCUCUUACGUAAAAGGGCCCAAUGAGGUAAAUUUCAUCAUGUGGGUAAAACAAAAUGAAUAAAAGUGUCUGAUAUUUAACAGUGUGAGGCUUGUUUAAAAUUAGAAAUACUUGUGUGGAAAUGGCAACAGGGCUUAGACUGGCAGAACGCCAUGGGGCUUUUAAAGGAGAAACUUGGAAUCAGACUCAACAGUGUGUGAAUCUUGGUUCUUCCAUUUACUGUGCAGCAACCUUGAGGGUGUUAUUUAGUCUUCUAUGACUAGGGAAUAAUAGUGCUGCCCAUCUCAUAAAGUUGUUGAUCUGACUAAAAGAUGUGAUGCCUUUAAAGUACAAAGCGUUGGGAUUUUUUGCAUAGUGAGACCUUAAUAAACGUGAGAUGCUAUUAUAUCUUUAUUGGAUAACCAAAGCCUUAAACUCAGUUUAAUGAGACAUAUUUUAACAGGCUAACCAAUGUGCAUGUAAUUUAUAGUUGUGUAUUUAUUAUUGGGGAAAAAUAACAUUAAAAUAAUCUUCAGUUGAAUUGUUAAUCCAAUUGAGUGGAACCUGGGUUUAUUGGCUGUUCAUUAAAAGUGUGGGUGCCACAUGCUCUGAUGGAUCCAAAGAUGAAUAAGAAAUGAAAAUUAAACUGAUGUAUCAGCUCUGUGCUAGAGACUCUCAGAUAGAUCAUCUCAUUUAAUCUUUUUACAUAAUUUAUAUUAAUUACAUGAGGAAGAACAAUUCAUGGUCAUUGGGGAAAGUUUGGAAAGAUAAAAAAUAUUUUAAAAAAUUGAAAUUCCCCAUAACCACCAUUAGCUCUUUGCUCUGUUGCCCUCAUGUCUUUUUUGGUGCAAAUUUCAUGGUCUAUUUAAACCUGAAUUCCCUGAUCUGGAAAAUAAGGACACCCCCAUCCCCAAGGGGGUUAGACAGAAAAUGAGACCCUAUGAGAAAAGCAUCUCAGUGCCAGGUAUUUCACAGAGGCUCAAUAAAUUUCACAUCCUUUGAAUUUUAUCAUAUAUGACUGGUUUCACAGAAUUUUACAGUUAGCAUAAGCCCUAGAUUGUGAGAAUAUGAGGUCAUCUUUCAGAGGGCUUACAAAGCCCAGAGAUAGAUCUGAAGCAUCUUUCUAGAGUGCCAGUUUACUCAAAGAUUUUUAGUGAGUGGUAGUAAAAGGUAUGAUUUUUAAAUUGAGUGCCAUGCAAUUGAGAUGCACAAUUCUCGAUUUUAAAGAUAAAAUAAGAGACUGCAAGGAAACCCUAUACUUGUUGGUGGUAGGCCAGCUCACACACAGCCCUGGCCCAUGGGACGUUUCCUUGGAAGAGUUCAAGUUCUUGGGUUCAAGAUGCUGAGGGAGCCAGAGUUGUGGGAGGGUUUUAAACAGAGAUACUGAAGUGGUGUUAGGUGUUAGGUCACCUUGCUGGUCAAGGGGAAGCUGAGAUGAAGGAAUUACCAUAGAGGAAAACCUGCUAUAAAGCUAGGGCCAUGGGCAGGGUAGGCAGCGAUGAGAGUGAGAACUAGGGAGAUACAGUGAGAAUGGUUAGGAAGGAAUGAAACUAGACAAUUCUGAAGACGACAUAAAGACAGACUUAUCACUGAACACAUGGAAGGCAAAUUGGAUGAGAAGAAUCCUAAGAAUAUGCCUAGGUUCUCACUGGGUGGACGAUAGACCCAGAGAAAUGAUAGACUUAUAAAAAAAGGUACAGAUACAUACGAUCAUCCGUAAUAUACAGUAGUCAUCUAGCCUUUUGCAGUGAAAUUUCUUAGCUGCGCUGCCACCUGAACUAAACUGAAAUUGAAUUUAAUAGAAAAAUCAAAUUAAGGAGUUCCUGAUGUGGUUCAGUGGGUUAAGAACCCAACUGGUAUCCAUGAGGAUGUGGGUUCAACUCCUGGCCUCACUCAGUGUGUUAACAAUCUGGCAUUGCUGUGAGCUGUAGUGUAGGUUGCAGAUAUGGCUUGGAUCUGGC